rnacentral:rRNA from 1 species
UGGGAACGUGCCCUUUGGUUCGGAAUAACUCAGGGAAACUUGAGCUAAUACCGGAUAAGUCCGUAAGGAGAAAGAUUUAUCGCCGAAGGAGCGGCCCGCGUCCGAUUAGCUAGUUGGUGAGGUAAUGGCUCACCAAGGCUACGAUCGGUAGCUGGUCUGAGAGGAUGACCAGCCACACUGGGACUGAGACACGGCCCAGACUCCUACGGGAGGCAG